GGGUCGAUGGUGCGGCUGGUUAUCGCCUCUGUCUAACCUCGUAUCUUGCCUUUGCUGUAUACAGAAGGCUCCCAGUUCAAACCUGGGCCGAUUCA